GCGUCUACCAGUUCCACCACUUCGGCGAGCCGCCAAACCUAGGACACCCUCCCCUACCGGUCAAGCGAUGCGUUGCCUGUCGGCAUCUAGCGGCCUAUCUUCCGCUCUACGAGGCACUUAUGAGCGAAAGGGGCCGUCCGGAGACCGCCAAAGCCAGGAUCUCCGUGGCACGGAAUCCGCGGGCAACAUACGACUACCACCUCCUGGAGCAGUGGGAGGCGGGAAUCGUCCUCACCGGCACGGAAGUCAAGAGUCCGCGGAACGGGAAGGCAUCGAUCAAAGAGGCAUACGCCAUCCUUCGGAGUGGCGAGGUCUGGCUCGAAGGCAU
rnacentral:misc_RNA from 1 species